rnacentral:rRNA from 1 species
CAAUAGCGUAUAUUAAAGUUGUUGCAGUUAAAAAGCUCGUAGUUGAAUUUCUGGGUCUGCCGGGCGGAGGCACAAGCCGAAACCCCGCGGUCUCAUCCUCACCCUCCGGGGUGUCAUUUACUGUGAAAAAAUUAGAGUGUUUAAAGCAGGCUUUAGGCUUGAAUACAUUAGCAUGGAAUAAUGAGAUAGGACCGAGUCGUAUUUUGUUGGUUGCGCGAUUUGGUAAUGAUUAAUAGGGACAGUUGGGGGUAUUCAUAUUUAAUUGUCAGAGGUGAAAUUCUUAGAUUUGUUAAAGAUGAACUACUGCGAAAGCAUUUACCAAGGAUGUUUUCAUUAA